UGCUUAUUUAAUUAAAUUGCCUCCACUAGCAAGGCCCUGCUUUCCUCUACCUCACUUAGAGAAAUGGGAAGCUGUGUGGCUAGAUGACAAGGAGGAGCUAUUCACAGAGCAGUUUGGGAAGGAAGAAUCCAAAGUAACUACUAGGGACAAUUUUGUAAGUCCCAGAAGAAUUCAGCAAUGGAGCAAAGGGAGCCAUGAUAUCAGUCAGGAAUAGCUGCAGCAAUGGGGAGAUCAGACCCUGAUCUACCUGCAAUGUGAUCAGGAGAGAGUCUACAGCCUAGGAGAGCUCCUGAAAGGGCACCCGGCGCCCCCGCUGUGCAGCCUGAAGGGGACAGCAUGAUGCAGCUGUGCCCUAGAGACGCCCCUGAAAGGCCACGGCCAAGGACUGACUCAGGGCAGCCUCUUGGAACAAGGGAGAGAGUGCAGCCCCUCCAGAACCAGCCUCAGUCUGA